rnacentral:rRNA from 1 species
CCUACGGGGGGCAGCAGUGGGGAAUAUUGCACAAUGGGGGGAACCCUGAUGCAGCGACGCCGCGUGGGUGAAGGAGUAUUUCGGUAUGUAAAGCCCUAUCAGCAGGGAAGAACAAUGACGGUACCUGACUAAGAAGCACCGGCUAAAUACGUGCCAGCAGCCGCGGUAAUACGGAUGGUGCAAGCGUUAUCCGGAUUUACUGGGUGUAAAGGGAGCGCAGGCGGCGCGUUAAGCCUGGUGUGAAAGCCAGCGGCCCAACCGCGGGACUGCAUUGGGAACUGGCGCGCUUGAGUGCCGGAGGGGUAGGCGGAAUUCCUAGUGUAGCGGUGAAAUGCGUAGAUAUUAGGAGGAACACCAGUGGCGAAGGCGGCCUACUGGACGGUGACUGACGCUGAGGCUCGAAAGCGUGGGUAGCAAACAGGAUUAGAUACCCUUGUAGUC